UGUGAUGUGCCAGCUCAAUUAAUGAGCCAUCAUCCAACGCCUCUCCUUUUUUCAUAUUUUCUUAUUUCUGAUUUUUAUUUUCUUUUAUUUCUUUUAAUUCCAUUUUAUUUCUAAAAUCCAUAUCUAUUUUAUUAUUGGUCCAAAAAAUAUGAGACCAAUUGCAUUAUUUCUCUUUUAAUUUCUAGGUUCUAAAAAUGAUUUUU
rnacentral:lncRNA from 1 species